rnacentral:rRNA from 1 species
UAGAGUUUGAUCAUGGCUCAGAUUGAACGCUGGCGGCAGGCCUAACACAUGCAAGUCGAGCGGUAACACAAGGGAGCUUGCUCCUGAGGUGACGAGCGGCGGACGGGUGAGUAAUGCCUAGGUAUCUGCCCAGUCGAGGGGGAUAACAGUUGGAAACGACUGCUAAUACCGCAUACGCCCUACGGGGGAAAGGAGGGGACCUUCGGGCCUUUCGCGAUUGGAUGAACCUAGGUGGGAUUAGCUAGUAGGUGGGGUAAUGGCUCACCUAGGCGACGAUCCCUAGCUGGUCUGAGAGGAUGAUCAGCCACACUGGAACUGAGACACGGUCCAGACUCCUACGGGAGGCAGCGGUGGGGAAUAUUGCACAAUGGGCGAAAGCCUGAUGCAGCCAUGCCGCGUGUAUGAAGAAGGCCUUCGGGUUGUAAAGUACUUUCAGCGAGGAGGAAAGCUCAAUUGUUAAUAGCGAUUGGGUGUGACGUUACUCGCAGAAGAAGCACCGGCUAACUUCGUGCCAGCAGCCGCGGUAAUACGAGGGGUGCAAGCGUUAAUCGGAAUUACUGGGCGUAAAGCGUACGCAGGCGGUUUGUUAAGCGAGAUGUGAAAGCCCCGGGCUCAACCUGGGAACUGCAUUUCGAACUGGCAAACUAGAGUACUGUAGAGGGGGGUAGAAUUUCA